UCAUGGCCGCCCCUCCCUCAUCUUCCUCCCCAAGCUGAGCUCGCCCAGCCCCUCUCUGUUUGUGGCGUGCUCCAGCUUCCCAUGGCGUCAAAGCCCCUAGCCAGGUUCCUAGCCCCCUCAUGGCCGCCCCUCUCUGCUCCCUGAUUUCUCCCCACGCCAGCAGCAGCUUCCCCCUUCUUCUUUUGUUCUCCAUGAAUGAAAGCCCAAGCGCCAGCCCCCUCCCUUUUGUCAAGUGGUGAGCUCCAAAUCUCUUUAUUGUUUCCCUAGUCCUUGCGUGUUGUAUUUUGAUUUCAGUUUGUUGUCCAUGUCAUGACGCUUGUGAAACUCUAUGUGUUUGUGUGUGAGAUUGGAAGAGAGUUCUAGGGAAAUCGAUGGAGAAGAAACAGUGUUUCAGUUCGACGCGCUCUAGGUGUUUGAUGGAAUGGAUGAACCGGAGAUCCUUGUUGCUCUUGUGAAAUCCGAGUCUAUUUAGUGUUGGUACGUUAAUUGAUCACGUGAUGUGGAAGACAAAGUUUGGAUUGAUCUCAAGAUAAUGCUGAUGGACGAAGCUAAAAUGGGUGAAUCAAACAAGUGCCAGAAUGGGAGAUGCUCGCCAAGCAAACAUCAUCUAACAACACUGACUUAGUGUUAUCCCAGGCAAGCCCCGGUGCAUUUGCCACCUCCUUGUUGUUAUAAAACUUUUAUCACUUAUAUGUUGCAUUAGGUGAUAGGAGUUGAGUGAUGAAACAAUUGAUGCAUUGCCAUUCCUUGGAAUUUGAUUAUCUUCCUUGAUUCCUGUUUUAUAAAGAGAACUAAAGAUGCUUAGCCCUGCUUAGA